UCCGAGUUGUAAUCUAUAGAGGCGUUUUCCGCGCCGGACCGCGUCCAAGUCUCUUGGAAUAGAGUAUCAAAGAGGGUGACAAUCCCGUACUUGACGCGACAACCGGUGCUCUGUGAUACGUUCUCAAUGAGUCGAGUUGUUUGGGAAUGCAGCUCUAAAUGGGUGGUAAAUUCCAUCUAAGGCUAAAUAUUGGCGAGAGACCGAUAGCGAACAAGUACCGUGAGGGAAAGAUGAAAAGCACUUUGGAAAGAGAGUUAAACAGCACGUGAAAUUGUUAAAAGGGAAACGAUUGAAGUCAGUCGUGUGAAAGGUAUUCAGCCGUCUCUGGCGGUGUAUUUGCCUUUCACGGGUCAACAUCAGUUUGAUCCGGUAGAAAAAGGCGGGAGGAAGGUGGCACCCUCGGGUGUGUUAUAGCCUCCUGUCAUAUGUCCCGGACCAGACUGAGGAACGCAGCU
rnacentral:rRNA from 1 species